UUCUAAGUGUCGUCGGUUCUGUCUUCUGUGCCCUAGACCCAAAAUCCCCAAAUCCUCCGUUCCUUCACAAGGCGAUUCCUCUCCUCAGAUGCGACUACGAGCUCAGGGACAGCAACUCUCCACUAGAUUUUUUGUAUCUCCGGUGUCUACUAUGGCGAAUCCACCAAGUAAGUUUCUUUUCUCUCACUUCCUCUCUCAUCUUCUUCAAUUAGACCUCUGUAACGUACAUGAAAAAGAUUUUUUUUUUUUUUUUUUUUUUGUACAAGUUGUACAACAGUACAAGACUUCGUGAAACUGAAAGAGAACUAGAUAAGCAAUUUACCGGGAAAAAAAAAUAAAUAAAUAAAAAAGCUUAUUAUUCAACGAUACAGAAUUAUUUGGAACUGACUUUUUUUCCUCACUUUCUCUUCCUUUUGGAGCCCUGAGAAAUCAUAAUGAAAGCCUUAAAAUUAUCUUGUUAUCCAUCUCCUGACACAACAUGAUUCAAAUAUUACUUGCCCGUAUUUGGUAAGAUGACACUUUAAUUGCAUUUAAAACGUUUUACCUAGUGUAGCUUGCCUCUUUAAGCCAUUACUAACAGUUGAAUUAGUCUUAGAGAAUUGGAAGGAAUUUGCCACUAUUAGCACUGGGGAAAAAAAAUUAUUAUGAAAUUUUUAUAAGAAUGAUGAAAAAAAAUUAUUAAAAUUAGUCUUGUUAUUUGUUUUAGUUUUAUUUGUAAUUUUGCAUUUAUAUAUAACUGUUUGUUAUUAGGAAAAUGAAUGUGCAAGGUUCUAGCAGUGGGGUUGAACCUGAUGAUAACACCCCUCUUUGGAAAUAUGUUAAAAAGUUUGAUAAGGUUGGGGGAGGAGGGGGAAAUAUAAAAUUUCAAUGCAAUUAUUGUCAAGGGAAUUUUAAGGGAUCAUACUAUAGGGUGAAAGCGCAUUUGCUAAAAAUCUCGGGACAUGGCAUUCAAGCAUGUAAAAAAGUGACUAAUGAUCAUAUAGCAGAAAUGCAAAGGUUAGGUAAUCAAGCUGAAAUAAGAAUUAAGAGAAAGAUGCCAAAACAGGUUCCUUUGCCACCUUCCACAAAGUCAAGCAAAGCUGGAUCUUCAUCAAGUGCAACUGUAAGCACGGGAGGUGGGCCAUUUAUGCUUGAUGUUUUUGAACCAAGAAAGAGGAAAACUAGUUCGGCGAUUGAAAAAGCAUUUAAUCUUGGAGCUCGUGAUGAAUUGCAUAGUGAAAUUGCAAGAAUGUUUUACUCGGCCGGUUUGCCUUUUCACCUUGCAAGGAACCCACACUAUGUUGCCUCUUACACUUAUGCCUCUAAUAAUGGUAUUAGUGGCUAUAUUCCUCCCGGUUACAACAUGUUGAGGACUACUCUUCUUCAAAAUGAGAGAGCAAACAUAGAGAGGUUGAUGAUUCCAAUUAAAGCUUCUUGGAAGGAAAAUGGUGUUACUAUUAUUUGUGAUGGAUGGACGAAUCCACAAAGGAGGCCAAUCAUCAAUUUUAUGGCUAUGAGUGUAAAUGGUCCUAUGUUCUUGAAAGCGGUAAAUUGUGAAGGUGAAUUCAAAGAUAAAUUUUUCAUCUCGGAGUUGAUCAAGGAGACCAUUCAAGAGGUUGGACCCGAUAAUGUGGUCCAAGUUAUUACCGAUAAUGCUCCUGUUUGUAGGAGUGCAGGAUUGUUUGUUGAAGUCCAAUUUCCAAAAGUAUUUUGGACUCCUUGUGUGGUUCAUACCCUCAACCUUGCUUUGAAAAAUAUUUGUGCGGCCAAAAAUACCGAUGCCAAUGAAGUUGUUUUUCUAGAAUGCCAUUGGAUUACAACUAUUAUCGAUGAUUGUAUGUUUAUUAAAAAUUUUAUAAUGAAUCAUUCCAUGAGAUUGGCAAUGUUUCAUGAAAAUGUGUAAUUAACCAUGCUUUCUAUUGCGGAUACAUGUUUUGCUUCAAUGAUUGUGAUGCUAAGAAGAUUUAAGCAAAUAAAACGUGGUCUCCAAGACAUGGUGAUGAGUGAUUUUUGGACAUCUUAUAGGGAAGAUAAUGUUCAAAGGGCCUUAACUGUCAAGACAAAAAUAGAUGAUUGGUGGCGAGAUAUUGAUUACAUAAUUAACUUUACUGAGCCAAUCUAUGAUAUGCUUAGGAGGGCCGAUACGGAUGUUCCUUGUCUUCACUUGGUGUAUGAGAUGUGGGACUCCAUGAUAGCUAAAGUGAAGGCCGCUAUUUAUCAUCAGGAAAGAAAGCAAGAGCAUGAGGAGUCUCCAUUCUUUUUGGUGGUGCGCGAAAUAUUAAGUGCUAGAUGGAGUAAGAGCAACACACCCCUUCAUUGCUUAGCACAUUCCUUGAAUCCAAGGUUUUAUAGUACACAAUGGCUUCAAGAGGCUCCCAAUCAUGUUCCUCUACAUAGAGAUCAAGAGAUUUCAAGUUUAAGAGAAAAAUGCUUCCAAAGGUACUUUACUAAUGAUGUGGAGAGAAGGAAGGUUAAAGAAGAGUAUGCUUGUUUUUCGGCGGGUUUUAGAGAGUUUGGAUCGGUUGAUUCCUUGAAUGAUAGAGGACUUAUGGAGCCAGCAAUUUGGUGGGUUUCUUAUGGAGCUUCAACACCCCUCAUCCAAUCUUUGGCUUUGAAGGUACUUGGACAUCCUUGUUCCUCCUCAUGUUAUGAGAGGAAUUGGAGUACAUAUUCUUUUAUCCAAUCUUUGAAGAGGAACAAGAUAGCACCACAAAGAGUCGAAGAUUUGGUAUUUGUACAUUCCAACCUUCGUCUUCUAUCAAGGAGAACUCCACAAUAUAAUGUGGGUGAAACUAAGAUGUGGGAUGUUGGGGGAGAUGCAUUUGAUUCCUUAGAAGGUAGUGGAAUACUUGAGAUUGCAAAUCUUUCACUUGAUGAACCGGACUUGGAGGCCAUGAUAUUUACCGAUGAGGGAGAUGGAAAUGACGAUGAAUUUCUAGAAGAUCCAACUCAAUGAAGAGGAUUAUAGAGUUCCUUUUCUUUUUUGGGCUCACUGUUAUCAAUUAAUCACUGUUCAGUUUUUUUUGUUUUUUUGAUAAGUAAACUGUUCAGUUAUUAUUUGUACGAAUCUUAUAUGAUCAGUGGCUAAUGAUGAAAGAUGCAUAUAUUAUAGAUUUUUAGUUAUUGAACU